GAGAUCGAACGUUAAAAAGCUGUCCUCGCUGAGGAGAGACAUCUGUGAGCUCCAGCGAACCUUUGUCACCAAAGGUUACCUGGUGGAAAACCGCGAGCGUAGAUAGUUAUCACACUCGUGAUGCCACCAAACACUGGGAGGCUGAUUCAUUUGAGAGGAGCCGACCACAGGCCAGCAAAACCCCCAAGGUCCAAGCUCAUCACGGCAAACCAUGAGAGUUGAGGUGUUCAUGAUACUCAAACAGGCAUGCCCCUCGGAAUAUCCAAGGGGCGCAAGGUGCGUUCAAAGAUUCGAUGAUUCACUGAAUUCUGCAAUUCACAUUACUUAUCGCAUUUCGCUGCGUUCUUCAUCGAUGCGAGAGCCAAGAGAUCCGUUGCUGAAAGUUGUAUUGUGUUGCGUUAGACGCGGCAUACAUUCCAUAAGACUUUAUCACAGUGUGUGUGUGUAAAGACGUAGAACUACGGAAGGAAGACAGGGUCCCCCAGACCGUAAAACUACAGAGGGUGCACAGGUGUGAGUGGAUGUGUAAACAGAGCGUGCACAUGCCCCCGUUCGAGGACCAGCAACAGCCCGUUUGACAAUUCAGUAAUGAUCCUUCC
rnacentral:misc_RNA from 1 species